rnacentral:rRNA from 1 species
UACCAGCACCCCGAGUGGUCGGGACGAUUAUUGGGCCUAAAGCAUCCGUAGCCGGUCCUGCAAGUCUUCCGUUAAAUCCAGCUGCUCAACAGAUGGGCUGCGGGGGAUACUACAGGGCUAGGAGGCGGGAGAGGCAAGCGGUACUUUAUGGGUAGGGGUAAAAUCCGUUGAUCCAUAGAAGACCACCAGUGGCGAAGGCGGCUUGCCAGAACGCGCUCGACGGUGAGGGAUGAAAGCUGGGGGGAGCAAACCGG